CUGUAGGUCUCUCAAACAUGCCUAUAUUCUCCUCUUUUAUAAUGAUUUUUCUGAUAAAACAAUAAUGGUUUAGCUGCUACUUGCUUUGAUCUCUCUCUAUAUAUAUAGCAGCAGAGAGUGAGUGGUAGAGAAUCAAUCUACCUCUGAUUCUCGCCUUUCUGCUGUAUGUUUUCUUCCUCUACUUUCUUCUUGAAUCCUCACAUUUUCUGCAACAUAACCAGGUAAGCUUAAGUAUUCAUAUCUGCAUUCAAUUUAGUCUCUGUACAAGUUUAAUUUAAUUUAGUCUCUGUAGAAGUUUAAUUUAAUGCAUUUUUAACUUUUUAUCAAAACUAGCUUUAUUUGAGUUUAAUUUAAUUCAAAAAUUGAAAUUU
rnacentral:misc_RNA from 1 species